UGGCAAUCUGGGAUGUGUGAUUUGGUUC
rnacentral:piRNA from 1 species